rnacentral:rRNA from 1 species
UACAGAGGUCCCAAGCGUUGUUCGGAUUUACUGAGCGUAAAGGGUGCGUAGGUGGUUGGGUAAGUCUGAUGUGAAAUCUCCGGGCUCAACCCGGAAAUGGCAUUGGAAACUACCUGACUAGAGGGUUGGAGGGGGGACUGGAAUUCCCGGUGUAGCGGUGAAAUGCGUAGAUAUCGGGAGGAAUACCUAUGGCGAAAGCAAGUUUCUGGGCCGUUACUGACGCUGAGCUGCGAAAGCUAGGGGAGCAAACAGG